AGUGAACGCUGGCGGUAGGCCUAACACAUGCAAGUCGAACGGCAGCACAGUAAGAGCUUGCUCUUACGGGUGGCGAGUGGCGGACGGGUGAGGAAUACAUCGGAAUCUACUUUUUCGUGGGGGAUAACGUAGGGAAACUUACGAUAAUACCGCAUACGACCUACGGGGGAAAGCAGGGGAUCUUCGGACCUUGCGCGAUUGAAUGAGCCGAUGUCGGAUUAGCUAGUUGGCGGGGUAAAGGCCCACCAAGGCGACGAUCCGUAGCUGGUCUGAGAGGAUGAUCAGCCACCUUGGAACUGAGACACGGUCCAGGCUCCUGCGGGAGGCAGCAGUGGGGAAUAUUGGACAAUGGGCGCAAGCCUGAUCCAGCCAUACCGCGUGGGUUGAGAAGGCCUUCGGGUUGUAAAGCCCUUUUGUUGGGAAAGAAAAGCAGCAGGUUAAUACCCCGCUGUUCUGACGGUACCCAAAGAAUAAGCACCGGCUAACUUCGUG
rnacentral:rRNA from 1 species